CCUGAGAGGGUGAUCGGCCACACUGGGACUGAGACACGGCCCAGACUCCUACGGGAGGCAGCAGUAGGGAAUCUUCCGCAAUGGACGAAAGUCUGACGGAGCAACGCCGCGGGAGUGAUGAAGGUUUUCGGAUCGUAAAGCUCUGUUGUUAGGGAAGAACAAGUGCCGUUCAAAUAGGGCGGCACCUUGACGGUACCUAACCAGAAAGCCACGGCUAACUACGUGCCAGCAGCCGCGGUAAUACGUAGGUGGCAAGCGUUGUCCGGAAUUAUUGGGCGUAAAGGGCUCGCAGGCGGUUUCUUAAGUCUGAU
rnacentral:rRNA from 1 species